rnacentral:rRNA from 1 species
AAAUGACUCUCGGCAACGGAUAUCUCGGCUCUCGCAUCGAUGAAGAACGUAGCGAAAUGCGAUACUUGGUGUGAAUUGCAGAAUCCCGUGAACCAUCGAGUCUUUGAACGCAAGUUGCGCCCGAGGCCUUUUGGCCGAGGGCACGUCUGCCUGGGCGUCACGGAU